GACGAACGCUGGCGGCGUGCCUAAUACAUGCAAGUAGAACGCUGAAGAGAGGAGCUUGCUCUUCUUGGAUGAGUUGCGAACGGGUGAGUAACGCGUAGGUAACCUGCCUUGUAGCGGGGGAUAACUAUUGGAAACGAUAGCUAAUACCGCAUAACAAUGGAUGACACAUGUCAUUUAUUUGAAAGGGGCAAUUGCUCCACUACAAGAUGGACCUGCGUUGUAUUAGCUAGUAGGUGAGGUAACGGCUCACCUAGGCGACGAUACAUAGCCGACCUGAGAGGGUGAUCGGCCACACUGGGACUGAGACACGGCCCAGACUCCUACGGGAGGCAGCAGUAGGGAAUCUUCGGCAAUGGGGGCAACCCUGACCGAGCAACGCCGCGUGAGUGAAGAAGGUUUUCGGAUCGUAAAGCUCUGUUGUAAGUCAAGAACGAGUGUGAGAGUGGAAAGUUCACACUGUGACGGUAGCUUACCAGAAAGGGACGGCUAACUACGUGCCAGCAGCCGCGGUAAUACGUAGGUCCCGAGCGUUGUCCGGAUUUAUUGGGCGUAAAGCGAGCGCAGGCGGUUUGAUAAGUCUGAAGUUAAAGGCUGUGGCUCAACCAUAGUUCGCUUUGGAAACUGUCAAACUUGAGUGCAGAAGGGGAGAGUGGAAUUCCAUGUGUAGCGGUGAAAUGCGUAGAUAUAUGGAGGAACACCGGUGGCGAGAGCGGCUCUCUGGUCUGUAACUGACGCUGAGGCUCGAAAGCGUAGGGAGCGAACAGG
rnacentral:rRNA from 1 species